GAUGAACGCUGGCGGCGUGCUUAACACAUGCAAGUCGAACGGUGAAGCCCAGCUUGCUGGGUGGAUCAGUGGCGAACGGGUGAGUAACACGUGAGCAAUCUGCCCCUGACUCUGGGAUAAGCGCUGGAAACGGCGUCUAAUACUGGAUACGAGCCGUGAAGGCAUCUUCAACGGUUGGAAAGAUUUUUCGGUCAGGGAUGAGCUCGCGGCCUAUCAGCUUGUUGGUGAGGUAAUGGCUCACCAAGGCGUCGACGGGUAGCCGGCCUGAGAGGGUGACCGGCCACACUGGGACUGAGACACGGCCCAGACUCCUACGGGAGGCAGCAGUGGGGAAUAUUGCACAAUGGGCGCAAGCCUGAUGCAGCAACGCCGCGUGAGGGAUGACGGCCUCGGUGUAACUCUUUAGUCAGGAGAAGCGAAAGUGACGGUACCUGCAGAAAAGACGACCGGCUAACUACGUGCCAGCCGCCGCGGUAACACCGAA
rnacentral:rRNA from 1 species